rnacentral:rRNA from 1 species
CCCUUAGAUGUCCUGGGCCGCACGCGCGCUACAAUGACACAUGCAACAAGUUCUAUCCUGGCUCGGAAGAGUUUCGGGUAAUCUUUAUAAUGUGUGUCGUGCUGGGGAUCGAUCUUUGUAAUUAUGGAUCUUGAACGAGGAAUUCCUAGUAAGCAUAAGUCAUCAGCUUGUGCUGAUUACGUCCCUGCCCUUUGUACACACCGCCCGUCGCUCCUACCGAUUGAAUGCUCAGGUGAGCCAUUCGGACUUUCAUCAUGCUGGUUUCCAGUUUUGAUGAAGGAAAGUCUUGCGAACCUUAUCAUUUAGAGGAAGGAGAAGUCGUAACA